rnacentral:rRNA from 1 species
CCUACGGGAGGCUGCAGUGAGGAAUAUUGGUCAAUGGCCGUAAGGCUGAACCAGCCAAGUCGCGUGAAGGAAGAAGGAUCUAUGGUUUGUAAACUUCUUUUAUAGGGGAAUAAAGGUAUCCACGUGUGGAUAUUUGCAUGUACCCUAUGAAUAAGCAUCGGCUAACUCCGUGCCAGCAGCCGCGGUAAUACGGAGGAUGCGAGCGUUAUCCGGAUUUAUUGGGUUUAAAGGGUGCGUAGGUUGGUUUUUAAGUCAGGGGGGAAAGUUUGGGGCUCAACCAUAAAAUUGCCGUUGCAACUGGAAAACCUUGAGGUUGUUGAGGUUGGCGGAAA